UGUUUCGGCGGCGUCCAACCCCUGUGACAUACCACUUGUUGCCUCGGCGGAUCAGCCCGCUCCCGGUAAAACGGGACGGCCCGCCAGAGGACCCCUAAACUCUGUUUCUAUAUGUAACUUCUGAGUAAAACCAUAAAUAAAUCAAAACUUUCAACAACGGAUCUCUUGGUUCUGGCAUCGAUGAAGAACGCAGCAAAAUGCGAUAAGUAAUGUGAAUUGCAGAAUUCAGUGAAUCAUCGAAUCUUUGAACGCACAUUGCGCCCGCCAGUAUUCUGGCGGGCAUGCCUGUUCGAGCGUCAUUUCAACCCUCAAGCACAGCUUGGUGUUGGGACUCGCGUUAAUUCGCGUUCCCCAAAUUGAUUGGCGGUCACGUCGAGCUUCCAUAGCGUAGUAGUAAAACCCUCGUUACUGGUAAUCGUCGCGGCCACGCCGUUAAACCCCAACUUCUGAAUGUUGACCUCGGAUCAGGUAGGAAUACCCGCUGAACUUAAGCAUAUCAAAGCCGGGAAGGAAAA
rnacentral:rRNA from 1 species